ACGCUGGCGGCAGGCCUAACACAUGCAAGCCGAGCGGUAGAGAGAAGCUUGCUUCUCUUGAGAGCGGCGGACGGGUGAGUAAUGCCUAGGAAUCUGCCUGGUAGUGGGGGAUAACGUGCGGAAACGGACGCUAAUACCGCAUACGUCCUACGGGAGAAAGCAGGGGACCUUCGGGCCUUGCGCUAUCAGAUGAGCCUAGGUCGGAUUAGCUAGUUGGUGGGGUAAUGGCUCACCAAGGCGACGAUCCGUAACUGGUCUGAGAGGAUGAUCAGUCACACUGGAACUGAGACACGGUCCAGACUCCUACGGGAGGCAGCAGUGGGGAAUAUUGGACAAUGGGCGAAAGCCUGAUCCAGCCAUGCCGCGUGUGUGAAGAAGGUCUUCGGAUUGUAAAGCACUUUAAGUUGGGAGGAAGGGCAGUAAAUUAAUACUUUGCUGUUUUGACGUUACCGACAGAAUAAGCACCGGCUAACCCUGUGCCAGCAGCCGCGGUAAUACAGAGGGUGCAAGCGUUAAUCGGAAUUACUGGGCGUAAAGCGCGCGUAGGUGGUUCGUUAAGUUGGAUGUGAAAUCCCCGGGCUCAACCUGGGAACUGCAUUCAAAACUGACGAGCUAGAGUAUGGUAGAGGGUGGUGGAAUUUCCUGUGUAGCGGUGAAAUGCGUAGAUAUAGGAAGGAACACCAGUGGCGAAGGCGACCACCUGGACUGAUACUGACACUGAGGUGCGAAAGCGUGGGGAGCAAAC
rnacentral:rRNA from 1 species